GCGCGAAAACUCUACAAUGCAGGCAACUGCGAUAGGGGAACAUCGAGUGGCACCCACCAUGGGUGUCUGUCCAAUCGUCUAAAAAACGAUUGUCAGCAAGGGCCGGGCAAGACCGGUGCCAGCCGCCGCGGUAAUACCGGCGGCUCGAGUGGUGGCCGAUAUUAUUGAGUCUAAAGGGUCCGUAGCCGGCUUUGCAAGUCCCCUGGGAAAUCCAGCGGCUUAACCGUUGGGCUUUCAUGGGAUACUACAUUGCUUGGGACUGGGAGAGGUAGGAGGUACUCAGGGGGUAGGGGUGAAAUCCUGUAAUCCUCUGGGGACCACCGGUGGCGAAGGCGUCCUACCAGAACAGGUCCGACGGUGAGGGACGAAAGCUAGGGGCACGAACCGGAUUAGAUACCCGGGUAGUCCUAGCCGUAAACGAUGCUCGCUAGGUGUCACGGCAGUCGUGAAUUGUCGUGGUGCCGUAGGGAAGCCGUGAAGCGAGCCACUUGGGAAGUACGACCGCAAGGUUGAAACUUAAAGGAAUUGG
rnacentral:rRNA from 1 species